UACAGAGGGUGCGAGCGUUGUCCGGAAUCACUGGGCGUAAAGGGCGCGUAGGCGGCCUGAUAAGUCGGGGGUGAAAUCCUGUGGCUUAACUGCAGGGCUGCCUCCUAGACUGUUAGGCUCGAGCACGGUAGAGGCAGAUGGAAUUCCCGGUGUAGCGGUGGAAUGCGUAGAGAUCGGGAAGAACAUCGGUGGCGAAGGCGGUCUGCUGGGCCGUUGCUGACGCUGAGGCGCGACAGCGUGGGGAGCAAACAGG
rnacentral:rRNA from 1 species